AACGAACGCUGGCGGCGUGCUUAACACAUGCAAGUCGAACGAGAAAAUCCUGGCUUGCCAGGAUGAGUAAAGUGGCGCACGGGUGAGUAACACGUGAGUAAUCUGCCCCUAAGUUAGGAAUAACAUUGCGAAAGCGAUGCUAAUACCUGGUAAGCCCACGACUUCUUCGGUAGAUGUGGGAAAAGGUGGCCUCUGACAUAAGCUAUCACUUAGGGAUGAGCUCGCGGACCAUUAGCUUGUUGGUAGGGUAAUGGCCUACCAAGGCGACGAUGGUUAGCGGGUCUGAGAGGAUGAUCCGCCACACUGGAACUGGAACACGGACCAGACUCCUACGGGAGGCAG
rnacentral:rRNA from 1 species